rnacentral:tRNA from 1 species
UCCCUGGUGGCUCAGAUGGUAAAGCAUCUGCCUACAAUUCAGGAGACCUGGGUUCGAUCCCUGGGUCGGGAA